UGCAGAGUUGGUAGUACCCGGUGAAGACA
rnacentral:piRNA from 1 species